rnacentral:rRNA from 1 species
GACGAACGCUGGCGGCGUGCUUAACACAUGCAAGUCGAACGGAAAGGCCCUGCUUUUGUGGGGUGCUCAAGUGGCGAACGGGUGAGUAACACGUGAGUAACCUGCCCUUGACUUUGGGAUAACUUCAGGAAACUGGGGCUAAUACCGGAUAGGAGCUCCUGCUGCAUGGUGGGGUUGGAAAGUUUCGGCGGUUGGGGAUGGACUCGCGGCUUAUCAGCUUGUUGGUGGGGUAGUGGCUUACCAAGGCUUUGACGGGUAGCCGGCCUGAGAGGGGGACCGGCCACAUUGGGACUGAGAUACGGCCCAGACUCCUACGGGAGGCAGCAGUGGGGAAUAUUGCACAAUGGGCGGAAGCCUGAUGCAGCAACGCCGCGUGCGGGAUGACGGCCUUCGGGUUGUAAACCGCUUUCGCCUGUGACGAAGCGUGAGUGACGGUAAUGGGUAAAGAAGCACCGGCUAACUACGUG